GCUCGUGUUGUGAAAUGUUGGGUUAAGUCCCGCAACGAGCGCAACCCUUAUCCUUUGUUGCCAGCGAUUCGGUCGGGAACUCAAAGGAGACUGCCAGUGAUAAACUGGAGGAAGGUGGGGAUGACGUCAAGUCAUCAUGGCCCUUACGACCAGGGCUACACACGUGCUACAAUGGCGCAUACAAAGAGAAGCGACCUCGCGAGAGCAAGCGGACCUCAUAAAGUGCGUCGUAGUCCGGAUUGGAGUCUGCAACUCGACUCCAUGAAGUCGGAAUCGCUAGUAAUCGUGGAUCAGAAUGCCACGGUGAAUACGUUCCCGGGCCUUGUACACACCGCCCGUCACACCAUGGGAGUGGGUUGCAAAAGAAGUAGGUAGCUUAACCUUCGGGAGGGCGCUUACCACUUUGUGAUUCAUGACUGGGGUGAAGUCGUAACAAGGUAACCGUAGGGGAACCUGC
rnacentral:rRNA from 1 species